rnacentral:lncRNA from 1 species
AAGAUUAAACUUGAUUAACAUGAGGUGUUCUAGAAUCAUCUUGUACUAGCUAGAAAAAUCUUUCAUAAAAAUCAAUGUAUUAAACUAGACAAUUCUAGGAGGAUACUAGAUACUUCUCAAAUAAAAUCCAUAGGCAUCAAUCUAGAAAAUUCUAUAAACUUGUAGAAUCAUUCAAGUAUCUAGAUCCCUCCAUGGAGUAGUAUAAAUAUGUGAUGUUGUAACUCAUUUUGUAAUCAAGAAAAUCAAUAAAA